rnacentral:rRNA from 1 species
GAUGAACGCUAGCUACAGGCUUAACACAUGCAAGUCGAGGGGAAACGACAUCGAAAGCUUGCUUUUGAUGGGCGUCGACCGGCGCACGGGUGAGUAACGCGUAUCCAACUGUGACGAAAGGCUUUGCGGUGAUGGAUGGGGAUGCGUCCGAUUAGCUUGACGGCGGGUAACGGCCCACCGUGGCUACGAUCGGUAGGGGUUCUGAGAGGAAGGUCCCCCACAUUGGAACUGAGACACGGUCCAAACUCCUACGGGAGGCAGCAGUGAGGAAUAUUGGUCAAUGGGCGAGAGCCUGAACCAGCCAAGUAGCGUGCAGGAUGACGGCCCUAUGGGUUGUAAACUGCUUUUAUAAGGGAAUAAAGUGGGUCUCGUGAGACUUUUUGCAUGUACCUUAUGAAUAAGGACCGGCUAAUUCCGUG